AAGACUAUACUUUCAGGGAUCAUUUCUAUAGUUUGUUACUUUUGUGAAGCAAGAAUAUAACUGUAUUAUUUUA
ensembl:snoRNA U3 Small nucleolar RNA U3